rnacentral:rRNA from 1 species
UAGGGAAUCUUGCGCAAUGGGCGAAAGCCUGACGCAGCCAUGCCGCGUGAAUGAUGAAGGUCUUAGGAUUGUAAAAUUCUUUCACCGGGGAAGAUAAUGACGGUACCCGGAGAAGAAGCCCCGGCUAACUUCGUGCCAGCAGCCGCGGUAAUACGAAGGGGGCUAGCGUUGCUCGGAAUUACUGGGCGUAAAGGGCGCGUAGGCGGAUAUUUAAGUUGGGGGUGAAAGCCCGGGGCUCAACCUCGGAAUAGCCUUCAAUACUGGAUAUCUUGAGUUCGGGAGAGGUGAGUGGAAUGCCGAGUGUAGAGGUGAAAUUCGUAGAUAUUCGGCGGAACACCAGUGGCGAAGGCGACUCACUGGCCCGAUACUGACGCUGAGGCGCGAAAGCGUGGGGAGCAAACAGGAUUAGAUACCCUGGUAGUCCACGCCGUAAACGAUGAGUGCUAGUUGUCGGCAUGCAUGCAUGUCGGUGACGCAGCUAACGCAUUAAGCACUCCGCCUGGGGAGUACGGUCGCAAGAUUAAAACUCAAAUGAAUUGAC